CCCUUAGAUGUUCGGGGCCGCACGCGCGCUACACUGAAGCAAUCAACGUGCCUGUCUCCUGGUCCGGAAGGAUCGGGCAACCCGCUGAACCUGCUUCGUGAUAGGGACUGGGGCUUGCAAUUGUUCCCCACGAACGAGGAAUUCCCAGUAGGCGCGAGUCAUGAGCUCGCGUCGAUUACGUCCCUGCCCUUUGUACACACCGCCCGUCGCUCCUACCGAUUGAACGUGCUGGUGAAGCGUUAGGACUGGCUCUCGGGGCAGGUCUCCUGCCCCUUGAAUCGGGAAUUUCGUUGAACCCUCCCGUUUAGAGGAAGGAGAAGUCGUAACA
rnacentral:rRNA from 1 species